rnacentral:tRNA from 1 species
GCAUCGGUAGUUCAAUGACGAGAAUGCUCGCCUGCCACUCGGGCGGCCCGGGUUCGAUUCCCGGCCGAUGCA